rnacentral:tRNA from 1 species
GGGCGUAUGAUGGAAUUGGUAGACGUGAUGGACUUAAAAUCCAUUGGGCGAAAGCCCGUCCCGGUUCGACUCCGGGUAUGCCCACCA